UGACAUAUGUAUGAGUGAGUAUGAGAACUAGAACCGCAAUCAAAUCUUAAAAGCCUAAGUAUUGAAUCUUUGUUAGAAGAUACAAAGACAAGGACUCAUACGGACUUCGACUACACCAUCAAAGCUUUGAAAACC
rnacentral:sRNA from 1 species